rnacentral:rRNA from 1 species
GACGAACGCUGGCGGCGUGCUUAACACAUGCAAGUCGAACGGUAAGGCCCUUCGGGGUACACGAGUGGCGAACGGGUGAGUAACACGUGGGUGAUCUGCCCUGCACUUCGGGAUAAGCCUGGGAAACUGGGUCUAAUACCGGAUAGGACCACUGCCUGCAUGGGUGGUGGUGGAAAGCUUUUGCGGUGUGGGAUGGGCCCGCGGCCUAUCAGCUUGUUGGUGGGGUGAUGGCCUACCAAGGCGACGACGGGUAGCCGGCCUGAGAGGGUGACCGGCCACACGGGGACUGAGAUACGGCCCAGACUCGUACGUGAGGCAGCAGUGGGGAAUAUUGCACAAUGGGCGCAAGCCUGAUGCAGCGACGCCGCGUGAGGGAUGACGGCCUUCGGGUUGUAAACCUCUUUCAGCACCGACGAAGCGCAAGUGACGGUAGGUGCAGAAGAAGGACCGGCCAACUACGUGCCAGCAGCCGCCGUAA